UAGGGAAUAUUGGACAAUGGGCGCAAGCCUGAUCCAGCCAUGCCGCGUGAGUGAAGAAGGCCCUCGGGUUGUAAAGCUCUUUUGUCCGGAAAGAAAAGCUUUGGGUUAAUACCCCGAAGUCCUGACGGUACCGGAAGAAUAAGCACCGGCUAACUUCGUGCCAGCAGCCGCGGUAAUACGAAGGGUGCAAGCGUUACUCGGAAUUACUGGGCGUAAAGCGUGCGUAGGUGGUUUGUUAAGUCUGAUGUGAAAGCCCUGGGCUCAACCUGGGAAUGGCAUUGGAUACUGGCAGGCUAGAGUGCGGUAGAGGGCAGUGGAAUUCCCGGUGUAGCAGUGAAAUGCGUAGAGAUCGGGAGGAACAUCUGUGGCGAAGGCGACUGCCUGGACCAGCACUGACACUGAGGCACGAAAGCGUGGGGAGCAAACAGG
rnacentral:rRNA from 1 species